rnacentral:rRNA from 1 species
GAUGAACGCUGGCGGCGUGCCUAAUACAUGCAAGUCGAGCGAAGAGAUGAGGAGCUUGCUCCUCUGACGUUAGCGGCGGACGGGUGAGUAACACGUGGAUAACCUACCUAUAAGACUGGGAUAACUUCGGAAACCGGAGCUAAUCCCGGAUACUAUAUUAAAACGCAUGGGUCAAUAGUGAAUGACGGUUUUGCUUUAACCUAUAGAUGGAUCCGCGCCGCGUUAGCUAGUGGGUAAGGUAACGGCUUACCAAGGCAACGAUGGGUAGCCGACCUGAGAGGGUGACCGGCCAAACUGGAACUGAGACACGGUCCAGACCCCUACGGGAGGAAGCAGUAGGGAAUCUUCCGCAAUGGGCGAAAGCCUGACGGAGCAACGCCGCGGGAGUGAUGAAGGUCUUCGGAUCGUAAAAAUCUGUUAUGAGGGAAGAACAAAUGUGUAAGUAACUAUGCACGACUGGACGGUACCUAAUCAGAAAGCCACGGCUAACUACGUG